rnacentral:lncRNA from 1 species
UAAGCUGUCUGUAGUAUUUCCUUACUUUCAGGUGGAGCUUGAGUGACUCUAGCCAAACAUACUUUAUUUCUUUAACGUUUACUCAUUGAACAUGUUUUUGACAGAAAGGUGGGAAAUUGCCAGCUCAGGGUGAGAACCCUGAAUUUAUCAGUCCCGCAGUACCACGAAAUUCCCAUCCCUGUGGUGUUAUCACAGCACUUGGCCCUGGUGUUUCCACUCCGCUCCACCCUCUCUGCUUUAUCUCUUUGAGUCUGCACACCACACUCUUCUGCUGCUGCCGAUAAGCUUAGGUUUGCAGGUCUUAUGUUGGUUAGGCAACUAUCAUAGAGCCAGUGAGUCACCACAUUCCACCCGAGAAGCUUCCUUCUCUCAAGAGGUGGACAUUUCAGUCAGUCAGCUCCAGUAAGAAUUCCACAUAAUCCACCUGGAGACGGCAGUCACUCAAGCAUCACAAUAUUUAGUAGCAAUUGCGGAGGUCCCAUGCAGUCCUGUUAUGAGGAUUAGAGCUCGUGGGGCUCUUGGUCUGCUCACUAUUUGUGGGGUUGACCAUGAGCCAAUGGGAUCCUGGGGGCAUUACAAAGAGCAUGGCCAGCAGGUUGAGGGAGGGGAUCCUCCUCCUCUACUCUGCCCUGGAGAGAGCACAUCUGGAGUGCUGAGUCCAUUUUUGGGCUCCCCAGCUCAACACAGACAGGGAACCGCUGAAUAGAGUCCAGUGCAGUGCCCAAAGGCAAUGAGUGGCCUGGGGCAUCUCCUGUAUGAGGAAAGGCUGAGAGACCUGGGGCUGUUCAGCCUGGAGAAGAGAAUGCUGAGAAGAGAUCUUACCAGUGCAGCUUCUGUCCUCUAGAAUGGUGGUCUCCAUUUGACCUGUCUCAUUGAGGCGCAAUCUGAAAAUCAGAUGGCUCAGCUGGAACCCUUAUUCCAUCAGAAGAUGACGGUAAUGCCUGCAGCCUGUAGUUUGGCAGCUAUCCUGACUUCCUCCUUCAUGGUCAGGAUAUGGGAGGAGCAUUCAUUGUUCUUUGAGCAUCAACAAAACCUCAGCCCUGGAACUGUGGGGAUUUUCCUUCUGGAUCCUUCCAGAGCCAGAGCUGGGGAUGGAGCAGGAGAACACAGCCCUCUGCUUCGCUCCACCCAGGAAUUCCUGGUACAAGAGCUGCCCUUUAUGAGACCUGCAAACCCCUACAGGAUGUGGGGGAGGAGCACUGCAUGCCCUGCUCCGAGCUCCCAUAGGGGGAGUUGGCCUUACCCACCCCUUUUUGCUCAUUUUUACACCACGGCAACGCUUUUGCAGCUUCACAGCGUUGCUCCCAGGACUGAGUGGGGAAGAUGUCACUGAAGGAGAAGAAAAAGAAGAAGCCUUGCAGUGAUGACUAUCACUCUGGACCACAGGGUAAGAGCGUGGAGAGCCUGAUGAGGGACAUCCAUGUAUGCCGCAGCGUGGGUCUGGAGAUCAUCAACAGGACCAAGACAGUGACACUGAGGGACUUCGGGUGGGUACCCCUCGC